UACGUAGGCAGCGAGCGUUGUUCGGAGUUACUGGGCGUAAAGGGUGUGUAGGCGGUUGUUUAAGUUUGGUGUGAAAUCUCCCGGCUCAACUGGGAGGGUGCGCCGAAUACUGAAUGACUUGGAGUGCGGGAGAGGAGAAUGGAAUUCCUGGUGUAGCGGUGAAAUGCGUAGAUAUCAGGAGGAACACCGGUGGUGUAGACGGCUCUCUGGACCGUAACUGACGCUGAGACACGAAAGCGUGGGUAGCAAACAGG
rnacentral:rRNA from 1 species